rnacentral:rRNA from 1 species
UACGUAGGGUCCGAGCGUUGUCCGGAAUUAUUGGGCGUAAAGGGCUCGUAGGCGGUCUGUUGCGUCGGGAGUGAAAACUUACAGCUUAACUGUGAGCGUGCUUCCGAUACGGGCAGACUUGAGGUAUUCAGGGGAGAACGGAAUUCCUGGUGUAGCGGUGAAAUGCGCAGAUAUCAGGAGGAACACCCGUGGCGAAGGCGGCUUCCUGGGGCCAUCCUGACACUGAGAAGCGAAAGCUAGGGGAGCGAACGGG